rnacentral:lncRNA from 1 species
UGUAAUGAAUAGCCUUUAGCCAUACAUUUUUACAAAUGUGUGGCAGGGCGGUUUUGCCAAAAGUGUGGUCGUAGCCCCUUUUUCACGUAGUGCAGUCUUGAUGCGACCGUAUUCCUACCGAGCUAAUGUUUUAUUAUGAGCAUGCUACACAUAGGGCGGACUCAAUCCUUAGUGACAUUAAAACUUGAAAGACAAUUAUUGUACUUUGUUUAUGUUUAUU